rnacentral:rRNA from 1 species
UACGAAUCGUCCUAACGUUGUUCGGAUUCACUGGGUUUAAAGGGUGCGUAGGCGGUGCGUUAAGUCGGUGGUGAAAUACUUCGGCUCAACCGGAGAAUUGCCUCUGAAACUGGCGCGCUUGAGGGAGGUAGAGGUGCAUGGAACUUCCGGUGGAGCGGUGAAAUGCGUUGAUAUCGGAAGGAACACCUGUGGCGAAAGCGGUGCACUGGACCUCUUCUGACGCUGAGGCACGAAAGCCAGGGGAGCGAACGGG